GGGUGUGAGGGCAAUCUGGCUGUGAUAUCUGUCACCCCAUCGAUCACCAGGCUGAUCCUGCUGGCUAGGUAGAUACUGCCUUUGUCACUGCUCCGUGUGUGUCCCUCAUGAAGCUCCAGGCUCAGUUGAAGAAGAUGACCACCUCUGAUAGAUGGAAGACCAUUUCCUUGGUCAAGUAUAUAUAAGUAGCUUUGCUCCCCUGCUAGAACCUCCAAACAAGCUCUCAAAGAUAGCUAGGUUUUACAUACUUUGUCAGCCUUCCCUUUUUCUCAUUAGGCUAGGAAAGAGGGCAAACAUUUUGUUGUCUGCUGCAGUUU
ensembl:misc_RNA 7SK 7SK RNA